CGGUGAAGCAAAGUGCAGACAUUGCCGUGGCGAGCCCCGUGCCACCCCCCACCCAAAGGGACGGUCCCGAAGGAUGCUCUGCCAUCCCCACCAGGAGGGCAAGAGCUGACAGGCAUCUUCUGCCUUGCAGCUGAAAUCAGAGCAGACGGACACGGCCAAACCCGCAGCAAAAGUGCCGCAGCAGCCUGGGAGAGCACCUGCAGCCCAGCCCCCAGGAGCAGCAGACAGCAAGGUUGGUCCGAGGGCGGCCGGGACACGUGGCCCCACCGGCACAGCCAUGGGGCAGCCUGGGGCGGAGGGAGAAAGCGUCUUCUCCAAAAUCCUGCCGGGAGGGGCAGCUGAGCAAGCAGGCAAACUGACUGAAGCGGUGUCGGCUUUCGGCAAGAAAUUCACUUCGUUCUGGUGAGAAUGGCAAAAGGAGCUGGGGAAGCGAGUGAAGAUCGAGUCGUUGCAGCGGAAAAACCUAUGAAGAAGCCAGGGACCUCAGCACACAGCGCUGACUCUGGGUAUAACGCUUUUGAAAGCGGGGUGACCCCUGGGUGCUGGACCUCCCGUGGCAGAUGGCGGCGAGCAGCUCCGGCGUGGCGCAGCAUAGGGGGCCCAGCGUGCCGAGGGGCUGCACCCAGACCCUCGGCCCUUUCUCAAGAUUAUACACAGAGUUGCUCCCUCCGAACCCCAGCUCUGGUGUCUUCAUAGGUUUUUCCCCUCCGUGCGAGCCGAGGGCUGCUCCCCGUUCCCUCCGCCCCACCAGCCCCUCGGUCCCCUGCACUGCCGCCCGCUCCCCCCGUGGAGCUGGCACGCCCCGUUAGGACCUAACACUGUUUCACUACCGAAAUACGAGGCCAUAGGACUCUGCCGGGCGGCGCGGACGUGGGCUGGCCUUUGCCGACGCGGCCCUG
ensembl:lncRNA